AUAAAAAGCCUUUAAAAAAAUAAUGAAAAUUUCUGCAAACUGUUUUACUACAACGGAAGCAGACAAACAGCAUUGAAGAUAGAUCACAAAACUUGGCAAAUGAACAGGAAAGUUGAAUAAAACAGGAAGUCGACUAUUGCAACAGCAAUACAUUAGCUACACUGUAGAACAGACGGCAAAAUCAGAGCUGUUAGAACUACUCAAACU